rnacentral:lncRNA from 1 species
CUCCCUUUCGAGCAAGCGUCGCUCUGGGUACAGCAUCGUCAGAGCCACCUCCGCGAUAGGAUCGGUGAGCGGUUGAACGUGACCAGUGUUGGCUUGGACCCUCGUUGGCCUCUGUGCUGGGGAGGACCUCGGUGAGAGUCCUGCGGUGUUGUUGGGCCUUUAUCAGUUCGCGUCAGCUCACUUACAUGUUGUGAGCGUCUAGCCUUAAUCUAAAUUUACUAUGUCUUCGCUCCCAUGAUGCAGACACCUGCGAUUUGUCAUUGGCACAACAAUAUGCGUGGCAGUGCAUGCCGACCGACUCACCAGUUGACUCUGCACGACAACGUUUGGAGACUGUAAUGCAUCGUAUCGCACACUGUGCAGGACGGAAAAUCUGCUUUAAAUAAGUUAUUGACUUUAUUCCUGGCGCCUGGGCACCGGUCACAGUGUUGGGCAAUGCCAUCAUUCAACGCCUUGGCUUGGUCGUUGCGGGCUCGGUCAUACUUCAAACAUAUUCAGGUAUACAUUUUGCUUGCAUCUGCCUCACACUUUUGUUUUGUGAAUGACUGUCGUGAUGUUGCUGACUGGC